AGAAUCAACGCUGGCGGCGUGCCUAACACAUGCAAGUCGAACGAGAAAGUGGAGCAAUCCAUGAGUAAAGUGGCGCACGGGUGAGUAACACGUGACUAACCUACCCUUGAGUGGGGGGAUAACCUAGAGAAAUCUGGGCUAAUACCGCAUAAUACCUUCGGGUCAAAGGAGCAAUUCGCUUAAGGAGGGGGUCGCGGCCGAUUAGUUAGUUGGCGGGGUAAUGGCCCACCAAGACUGUGAUCGGUA
rnacentral:rRNA from 1 species